rnacentral:rRNA from 1 species
AGUGAACGCUGGCGGUAGGCCUAACACAUGCAAGUCGAACGGCAGCACAGUAAGAGCUUGCUCUUACGGGUGGCGAGUGGCGGACGGGUGAGGAAUGCAUCGGAAUCUACUUUUUCGUGGGGGAUAACGUAGGGAAACUUACGCUAAUACCGCAUACGACCUACGGGUGAAAGCAGGGGAUCUUCGGACCUUGCGCGAUUGAAUGAGCCGAUGUCGGAUUAGCUAGUUGGCGGGGUAAAGGCCCACCAAGGCGACGAUCCGUAGCUGGUCUGAGAGGAUGAUCAGCCACACUGGAACUGAGACACGGUCCAGACUCCUACGGGAGGCAGCAGUGGGGAAUAUUGGACAAUGGGCGCAAGCCUGAUCCAGCCAUACCGCGUGGGCGAAGAAGGCCUUCGGGUUGUAAAGCCCUUUUGUUGGGAAAGAAAAGCAGCAGGUUAAUACCCCGCUGUUCUGACGGUACCCAAAGAAUAAGCACCGGCUAACUUCGUG